rnacentral:rRNA from 1 species
AGCAGCCGCGGUAAUUCCAGCUCCAAUAGCGUAUAUUAAAGUUGUUGCAGUUAAAAAGCUCGUAGUUGAAUUUCGGGAUCAAUAUGUUGGUCGUGCCUUGGUACGUACUGGCAUUAUUGGUUCCUACCUUCUGAAGAACCUCGAUGUCAUUAAUUUGGUGUCUUGGGGAAUCAGGACUGUUACUUUGAAAAAUUAGAGUGUUUAAAGCAGGCUCGCGCUUGAAUACAUUAGCAUGGAAUAAUGAAAUAGGACGUUUGAUUCUAUUUUGUUGGUUUCUAGGAUCGACGUAAUGAUUAAUAGGGAUAGUUGGGGGCAUUAGUAUUCAAUUGUCAGAGGUGAAAUUCUUGGAUUUAUUGAAGACUGACUACUGCGAAAGCAUUUGCCAAGGAUGUUUUCAUUAAUCAAGAACGAAAGUUAGGGGAUCGAAGACGAUCAGAUACCGUCGUAGUCUUAACCAUAAACUAUGCCGACUAGGGAUCGGAUGAUGUUAAUUUUUAAUGUACUCAUUCGGUGUACCG